GGAUAUGAGGCCCUACGGUGGGGCAGGAGACUGCAAAUCUCUGUGAAGCUGGUUCGACUCCAGUCAUAUCCU
rnacentral:tRNA from 1 species